rnacentral:rRNA from 1 species
CGGCGUGCUAACACAUGCAAGUCGAACGAGAAAGUGGAGCAAUCCAUGAGUAAAGUGGCGACCGGGUGAGUAACACGUGACUAACCUGCCUUCGAGUGGGGGAUAACCUCGGGAAACCGGGGCUAAUACCGCAUAAUGCCUACGGGUUAAAGGAGCAAUUCGCUUGAAGAGGGGGUCGCGGCUGAUUAGCUAGUUGGCGGGGUAACGGCCCACCAAGGCGAUGAUCGGUAGCCGGCCUGAGAGGGCGCACGGCCACACUGGAACUGAAACACGGUCCAGACUCCUACGGGAGGCAGCAGCGGGGAAUUUUGCGCAAUGGGGGAAACCCUGACGCAGCAACGCCGCGUGGAAGGAUGAAGUCCUUUGGGACGUAAACUCCUUUCGACCGGGACGAUUAUGACGGUACCGGUGGAAGAAGCCCCGGCUAACUUCGUGCCAGCAGCCGCGGUAAUACGAGGGGGGCAAGCGUUGUUCGGAAUUAUUGGGCGUAAAGGGCGCGUANGCGGUGCGGUAAGUCACCUGUGAAACCUCUGGGCU